UCUUGGAAUGAAUGAUGAUACGAGAUGCGUAAGUCAUAGCCGAUCGGAACUGUUUAGGGUUUUCAGAAAAAAAAAAAUCGAGAUUUGAGUUUCCAAUUCCAAUUUCGACUUCUUCUUCUGCGCUGUUGUUGUUAUGGAUUCUCUUCGGGGAGCUUUUGCGUCUUGCCAAAAGACAGCGAUCAUCAGGUGCGUUAGAGCAUGUUUAUCGCCGUAGCUUAAUGACGUUGCUUAAUAUAAUUACAACUAAAAGAAAAUAAAAAAUAGAAGAAAGCAGAAGCGACGGCCCCUAAUUAAGCACGAGAAGCAACGUUGCUUCUUGGACAUGUGUCGUGACUCUUUCUCUCUCUCUCGUUUAUUCGCGAAGAAGGAAGAAGGAAGAAGAAGCCAUGGCAGGAGUAUGACCGAUGACUCAGGAUUGGAGCCUGUGGUGACUCGGACUUUCAGCCUCGCCUCUUUCUGCCUCGACGGGUCCAAACUCACCGAGAAUCCCGACGGUGGUGAUCCCGCCCGUUUCGUCCUCAGAAACCUUCGAAUCCGUUUCCGGCACUACCGCAAAGCAUAGCAAUGAUUGGUUCUCUGUCUCUCUCUCUCUGCCGAUUACGAAAAUCGUAUGCAUCUGUGUCGAAUCAAGCAUCUGUUUUGAGAAUUGAUAGAUAAAAGCUUUGUUGUUUUGUGAUUGUAUUUGGAUUUUUAGAAGGAAAAAAAAACGCUGACUUUGUUUCUUUUCGUUCUCUAUCUCUCUCUCUGUUGAUCACGAAAACCGUAUCCAUCUGAGUCGAAUCGAAAGGUAAAAUCCUUGUUGUUUUGUGAUUGUGUUGGGAUUAUGAUUUGGUUGAAAAAAAGUGGCUGACUUUAUUUAUUUCUGUUCUCUAUCGAUCUCUCUCUGUUGCUCCCGAAAACAGGAUGCAUCUAAGUCGAAUUGAAACAGCUGAGUCAGAUCGUAAGGUAAAUAAUUAGUGAAAGAGUGGAGCUCUCAGGUGGUGAUCACUAGCAUUACUAUAGGAGGCCUUCUAUUGCUUAUUGGAAGCCAUCAGAAAGAAAAGGUACGUUAUUGGAACAACAUCAAGAAUGGCUUUUCUAGUGAACUGAUCUUAGUGAUGGUCGGUUGUGGCUUUAAGCUUCUUGUUCUGUUUUAUGUAGUUUUUGUUAUGAAAAAACGUAUCACGGUUUUAAUGUAGUUUAAAUGUUCUUGG